rnacentral:rRNA from 1 species
CUCCUACGGGAGGCAGCAGUGGGGAAUCUUGCACAAUGGACGAAAGUCUGAUGCAGCAACGCCGCGUGGGGGAUGAAGCUUUUCGGAGUGUAAACCCUUUCGACCCGGAAGAAUGCCGCAAGGGUUUGACGGUACGGGUACUAAGAAGCCCGGCUAACUACGUGCCAGCAGCCGCGAUAC